GAGAAGGGUUGUUAAGGAACUCGGCAAGUUGACCCCGUAACUUCGGAAUAAGGGGUGCUCAUGAAAGUGAGCCGCAGAGAAUAGGCCCAGGCAACUGUUUACCAAAAACACAGGUUUGUGCUAAAUCGAAAGAUGACGUAUACGAGCUGACGCCUGCCCGGUGCUGGAAGGUUAAAAGGAGAUGUGCAAGCAUUGAAUUGAAGCCCCAGUGAACGGCGGCCGUAACUAUAACGGUCCUAAGGUAGCGAAAUUCCUUGUCAGGUAAGUUCUGACCCGCAUGAAAGGCGUAAUGAUUUGGGCACUGUCUCAACAGCCCGCCCGGCGAAAUUGUAGUACCGGUGAAGAUGCCGGUUACCCGCGACAAGACGGAAAGACCCCAUGGAGCUUUACUGUAGCCUGAUAUUGGGUUUCGGUGUUGCAUGCACAGGAUAGAUGGGACACUGGGAAGGCAGUGCUUUGGCAUUGCUGGAGUGGACGUUGGGAUACCAUCCUUGCGACAUUGGAAUUCUAACCUGCGCCUCUGAAUCGAGGCGGGGGACAUUGUCAGGUGGGCAGUUUGACUGGGGCGGUCGCCUCCUAAAAAGUAGCGGAGGCGUUCAAAGGUUCGUUCGAUCUGGACGGAAACCAGAUGAUUGAGUGCAAACGCAUAAACGAGCCUGACUGCGAGACUGACGGGUCGAGCAGAGACGAAAGUCGGAGUUAGUGAUCCGGUGGUAUGUGAGUGGAAAUGCCAUCGCUCAACGGAUAAAAGCUACCCUGGGGAUAACAGGCUGAUCUCCCCCAAGCGUCCACAGCGACGGGGAGGUUUGGCACCUCGAUGUCGGCUCGUCGCAUCCUGGGGCUGAAUUAGGUCCCAAGGGUUUGGCUGUUCGCCAAUUAAAGCGGCACGCGAGCUGGGUUCAGAACGUCGUGAGACAGUUCGGUCCCUAUCUGUUGCGGGCGUAGGAGAUUUGAAGGGAGCUGACCUUAGUACGAGAGGACCGGGUUGGACGUACCUCUGGUGUACCAGUUGUUCUGCCAAGGGCAUGGCUGGGUAGCUACGUACGGACGAGAUAAACGCUGAAGGCAUCUAAGCGUGAAACUCUCCCUGAGAUAAGAUCUCCACUGAGGCUCGACGUAGACUAUGUCGUUGAUAGGUCAGAGGUGGAAGUGCAGCAAUGCAUGCAGCUGACUGAUACUAAUAAGCCGAAAGCUUGACCAA
rnacentral:rRNA from 1 species